rnacentral:ncRNA from 1 species
GGUACGAACAGGCAAAACCAUUGAAAAGUGGUGACGCAAAACUAGAGGGGCUACUAUGAACAUCAUUAUGCCAGCCAGUUUCCGAA